rnacentral:rRNA from 1 species
UACGAGGGGGGCGAGCGUUGUUCGGAAUUAUUGGGCGUAAAGGGUGCGUAGGCGGUUUGGUAAGUCUUAUGUGAAAUCUACAGGCUCAACUUGUAGUCUGCAUGAGAAACUGCCGGGCUUGAGUAUGGGAGAGGUGAGUGGAAUUCCUGGUGUAGCGGUGAAAUGCGUAGAUAUCAGGAGGAACACCUGUGGCGAAAGCGGCUCACUGGACCAUAACUGACGCUGAUGCACGAAAGCUAGGGGAGCAAACCGG